UACGGAGGGUGCGAGCGUUGUCCGGAAUCACUGGGCGUAGAGGGCGCGUAGGUGGCUCGUGAAGCGUGCGGUGAAAGUCCGAGGCUCAACCUCGGAUCGGCCGUGCGGACUCGCGGGCUCGAGCGUUGUAGAGGCGGGUGGAAUUCCGGGUGUAGAGGUGAAAUUCGUAGAUAUUCGGAAGAACACCAGUGGCGAAGGCGACUUACUGGACACAUAUUGACGCUGAGGUGCGAAAGCGUGGGGAGCAAACAGG
rnacentral:rRNA from 1 species